UGGGGAAUUUGGACAAUGGGCGAAAGCCUGAUCCAGCAAUGCCGCGUGUGUGAAGAAGGCCUUCGGGUUGUAAAGCACUUUUGUCCGGAAAGAAAUCCUUGGCUCUAAUACAGUCGGGGGAUGACGGUACCGGAAGAAUAAGCACCGGCUAACUACGUGCCAGCAGCCGCGGUAAUACGUAGGGUGCAAGCGUUAAUCGGAAUUACUGGGCGUAAAGCGUGCGCAGGCGGUUUGCUAAGACCGAUGUGAAAUCCCCGGGCUCAACCUGGGAACUGCAUUGGUGACUGGCAGGCUAGAGUAUGGCAGAGGGGGGUAGAAUUCCACGUGUAGCAGUGAAAUGCGUAGAGAUGUGGAGGAAUACCGAUGGCGAAGGCAGCCCCCUGGGCCAAUACUGACGCUCAUGCACGAAAGCGUGGGGAGCAAACAGGAUUAGAUACCCUGGUAGUCCACGCCCUAAAACGAUGUCAACUAGUUGUUGGGGAUUCAUUUCCUUAGUAACGUACUAACGCGUGAAGUUGACCGCCUGGGGAGUACGAUCGCAAGAUUAAAACUCAAAGGAAUUG
rnacentral:rRNA from 1 species